UACGUAGGGGGCUAGCGUUGUCCGGAAUCAUUGGGCGUAAAGAGCGUGUAGGCGGCCCGGUAAGUCCGCUGUGAAAGUCGGGGGCUCAACCCUCGGAUGCCGGUGGAUACUGUCGGGCUAGAGUUCGGAAGAGGCGAGUGGAAUUCCUGGUGUAGCGGUGGAAUGCGCAGAGUAUCGAGGAAGAACACCCGUGGCGAAGGCGGCUCUCUGGGACGGUACUGACGCUGAGACGCGAAAGCGUGGGAGCGAACAGGAUAGAUACCGAGUA
rnacentral:rRNA from 1 species